rnacentral:ncRNA from 1 species
CAUGUUGUGUGAACUACCUACUUUUCUUUGUGGUUGGCAACAACUAUAUAUCUAGCGCUUACCACAGGGAUAACUGGCUUGUGGCAGCCAAGCGUCCAUAGCGACGUUACUUUUUGAUUCUUCGAUGUCGGCUCUUCCUAUCAUUGGAGUUGUAUAUUCCUUAAUUCAGGUUUAUCAGAAUCUGAGGCACUUAUCAGUAUAGGGAAGGAUUAAGGCAUAUUGACCAUGAUAAAUGUCAUUU